AGGCCGAGAACAUCUGGCCAAAAACAGUAUGUUCACAUAUGUUCAUUAUGAUGGCCUUUCUGUUUGGAUAGGAAGGUGUCCUAAGUCUCAGAGGCCCAGGAACCACAAAGCUCUGAAGGGUGAAGGGUAAUGGAAGGGUACCCCGAGACAUGAGGGCCCAGGAACCAAGCAGCUUUGAGGUGGGAGAGUGCCCCAAUGGAAGGGCAUCCUGAGACAUUGGUGCCCAGGAACCACAUAGCUGUAAAAGGAAGUCUCCUCAGCAGAGGUGUUGCAGCUCCCAGGGGUUCGGUAUCCCCAGCUGAGCUCAGGAGCUCAGGAGCCUCAGCCUGGCUCCUUCUCUUCUUCCCUUCUUCUCACCAUUGCUUCUUGUCUUCUUCCAAUGAGAGAGUCACAUGAGGCAGCAAAUCUCAUGAGAGAGAUUUAGUUAUUGGAGGGUCCAGGAUGUAGAGGGGCGAAUCCAGGAGUGGCGGUCUACACUCACAGGAGGAAGCAGACAGCAGCAGCAGGGAUUUGGGCAAAGCAAGGUGCUUAUACAGGGGUUCUUGUGGUGGGGGGAGGGGUCCUAAAGUGAAGAUUUCCACAGGGAGGAUUGUUGGGAUUUCAAGUGCUGAGCUGAGGGAGCUCAGGGAUUGGUGGACUUUCCUGUACAGGGAAUGGUGGGUUUUUGAGCUCAGGGAUUGGUGGGUUUCUGUGGAAAAUUCAGACGCCUAUUCAUGGCUUUUGUUCAGACUUUUCACCUAAAAUUAACAUAACCUAGGGGUGGGUCCUGUUGAGGGGCUAGAGAUGACCUUAGGACAGUUAGGGAACUCUCGGGGAGGGGGACCUGCCCACUUUCCUACCUUGAGGGUUUACAAAGUUUUGGUGAAUCCAUGGCAGAGAAGACCUUCCCUGCCCCUUCAGUGGCCUGAAUAACCGACAACCAGUCUAAUCAUACAGUCAGUCUUUUAGCCCAUCCCUUCCCUUUUAGAAAUAAGGAAAUUGAGGAUUAGAAAGAUUAAAUCAUUUGCACAGUCAGCAGGGAUUCAAACUCCUGGGGCCCAAGUCCUUAAAACUCAUUUAUGCCUAAAUCAGUAAGCGACCUAGACAGAAAAUAGAACAUCUUAGCUUCUGCCUGUAAUCUCAGACUUAGGAGGCUGAGGCAGAAGGAUGACAAAGCCGAGGCCAGCCUGGACUACAUAGUGGCAGCCUCAUUUUUAAAAAAAAAAAAAAAGAAGAAGACAUUAGCCAGGUGGAGAUGGUACAUGGCUUUAAUUGUAUCACUUGAGAGAGGCAAGCAGGUCCCUUAAGUUUGAGGCCAGCCUGGUCUACAGAGAGAGUUCUAGGGCAGCCAGGGCUACACAGAGAAAUGCUGUGUUGUCUUGGAAUUAAUUAAUUAAUAAUUAAUUAAUGGAAGGAAGAAAGAGAUGUGAUAGAAGAGAUUUUUUAAUAACCAUUGCUUUGAACAAUUUGAAAUUUCAAAUGUAAAUAUGAAGAGAUUAAGAUCUAACCCAUCACCCUUGACAGCUAGCUUUAACAUUUCUAUAUAACUUCAUCUGGUCUCCUCAGAGCUUCCCGACUAAGGACUUCUUAAAACAAAUUACGCUUUUAUAAAUAUUUCAUUAUGUGCCCUUUUGAAAAGGGGAUUGUUUUUAAAGAGUGGUUUUAAUGUCCUCUCUAAUUAACAUGUAGCUCAUUUAGAAACUUAAACACUUCAAUCUUUUUAUUAGCAUAUAGUAAUUAUAUGCAAUAGAUUUCAUUAAAUCUCCAUAUCUGCUUCCAUAUUCACCCCAUUACUCUUUUGUCUCCCUCCCACUCCCAAUAAUUCCAUUUUCGUUAUAUGUAUUAAUAUCAAAUUUUAUUUUUUUUAAUUUUUACACUCCAGAUUUUAUUCCCCUCCCAGUCCACCAUCUGCCAAAUUUUUUUCUUUUAAGAACUGCAGUUGUGUGAAACUAUACAAGUAACCUCGUGUACUUCUUUUUAUAGACCUAAAGAUUUGAAGCUCUAAGUGGAGUGAAUCUGAGGUCCUGUUUGACAUGCCAAUUCUGUACACAGAUUUUAUAAGUAAACAAUCAAAGAAAUUAAUUCACAUUUUAAUGUGCUGGGUGUUGCGGCUGCCAUAAUGACUUGGGGGGUCCAACAGGCAUUGAGUGAGUGACUGUGGAAACUCUACAUUGCUUCAGAAGGUCUGAUAGAACAUUUCUCGUAUGCCAAGAUCAAUAGCAGCUCCCUACUGAGGAAGGUCCUGCCUGGCGUAAACAUUAUCUCAUUAUUUUCUUCCCCUUGUGCUUUAAAGUCUGUACAAACUUUGAAAGCACAAGAAACAAUGAAAUCAUACUUAAAAGACUCUAGGUAAAGAGAGUGAAUUGUCACCUAUGAGUCUCCUGGCAUGCCUAUGGCUCGCAUGUCUGCAAAUGAAGACGGAUAAUGGAGGCAUCCAUUGGGGGAGCAGGGAAAAAGGAGACACAGAGAGGCAGACUGGGGUUGUGAGGCUAUGGAACACAGAACAUCCUUGGCAAUACUGGAAAUACAUAGUAAUUACCAGAAUCCCAGGACCGCCAGCAUCAUAGCAACUAUAGCCAGUGUCCAUCCAUGCAUGUGCAGAACGGUACUGAUGCCUGUCCACACCAGGCUGGUCAUGGAGAGCCAAGAGUUGUUGUUGGCAUCCUGUGAGUUACUAGGGAAUGACUACUACAUCAUUCUCAUUAGCUGACAAUGGCCAUCUCUAGAAGAAGAGAAGCAAAGCACAAAACCUCAAGCAUGAAUUCAGGAGCCGUCAACCAUUAGCAAGACAUUUCUUGGGCCUUCAAAGACUAGUAACCUGAUAGAAAUUGCCAACCAUAACACACACACACACACACACACACACACACACACACACACACACACGAUUCUCAGGACUGGAUACCUAAGACUGACCCUAAUCACUCUUUCUGAGCCUUCUGGUGGUUUUUCAUUUGUUAGUUUGUAUGCGUCUUUUUUGUUUGGUUGCUUGUUUUGGGGGUUGUUUGUUUGUUUGUUUUUGUUUUUUUAAAUCUCAUAACAAGACUCAGUUGACAGGACUUUGAAUGGAACAAAAUAUUAAAAUCUCUUUGUCUGAGUUUUUUAUCCUGCUGAAAGUAGGUUGGUCUCUUCUUAGGGGAAGCGUACCAAACACUCAUGGCAUUUUCCAGCCAGCAGUAGGAACAGACACCCAGAGAAGCAUGCAGAUGUUCAAGAAAGGAAAGGUGACCUAGUGGCUGUCAGUAUGCUACAGGAUGUAAAGCUCGCAGCUACUGCUUCAGCACCAAGUCUGUCUGCUCCCCUGCAUGACGAUCAUUUAAUGUCCUGAACCUCCGGAACUGUAAGCAAGCCCAAGAUUAAAUGAUUUCUUCUUAUAAAAA